rnacentral:rRNA from 1 species
GCGUACACGGUGGAUGCCCUGGCAGUCAGAGGCGAUGAAGGACGUGCUAAUCUGCGAUAAGCGUCGGUAAGGUGAUAUGAACCGUUAUAACCGGCGAUUUCCGAAUGGGGAAACCCAGUGUGAUUCGUCACACUAUCAUUAACUGAAUCCAUAGGUUAAUGAGGCGAACCGGGGGAACUGAAACAUCUAAGUACCCCGAGGAAAAGAAAUCAACCGAGAUUCCCCCAGUAGCGGCGAGCGAACGGGGAGCAGCCCAGAGCCUGAAUCAGUGUGUGUGUUAGUGGAAGCGUCUGGAAAGGCGCGCGAUACAGGGUGACAGCCCCGUACACAAAAAUGCACAUGCUGUGAGCUCGAUGAGUAGGGCGGGACACGUGGUAUCCUGUCUGAAUAUGGGGGGACCAUCCUCCAAGGCUAAAUACUCCUGACUGACCGAUAGUGAACCAGUACCGUGAGGGAAAGGCGAAAAGAACCCCGGCGAGGGGAGUGAAAAAGAACCUGAAACCGUGUACGUACAA